rnacentral:lncRNA from 1 species
UUUUUUUUUUUUUUUUUCCUUUUAAUGCCAAAGGACGGCUCCGAUUUGAGCUGACGGACUCGAACACGUGACGUUGCCUUUUGAUUUUUGAAUGGGUCUUCGUUCUUACCGCGACUGUGUGUUAUAUUUUUUGUGGUCCGAAUGCCUACCCACCGUUGAUAAUAUUAUCGCUUGACAAUAACAUUGACGGCGUUGAGUUGGUUAUGGUCUAAAUACUCACGUUCACUCAGCAAUUACUUUAUUAUAUUUUUAUUUUGUCUACAUGAUGAAUCAUGUUGGAGUCAAUUCCUUUUUUUUUUUAAACAUUUCACAGUCAUAAAAAUAUUUAAAUUUGAUCCACAUAUUCAAUUUAUUAGUAAGUAAUUAUUGUGUUAUGUUUUCAUUUAAUAUAUAACCUAUAGCACCACAUAUUCAAUCUAUUAUUAAGUAACUAAUAUGUUAUGCUUCUAAGAAAUUUAUAUCUCAAUUGAUGAUUACUAGUAUAUAUCGUAGAACAAGACAUCAUUUGGUAUUUAAAUUUUGUAACAUUACUCUUAAAUAGUACCUAAACAUAUAUAAAUCGGUAUGUUAAUAUAAAGUUUCCUUAGAUUUAUUAUUUUCUUCAUCUUUAACUAAAAUAUUGUUUCUAUUAAAAAAAAACUACUUAUACAAGUUAAUGUCACAUGGUACUUUUGAAUAGAUAAAAUUAUAAAUUUCAAAUGGGAUUAGUGAAAAUUAAAAUGAUGGAUUACACGACAUUGAUAAAGUAGUACCGCUAUAUUAAUUUGUGUAAAUUAUUUGUAAGUAUAAUAUUACUCUCCUAAAAAAAUUAUCAGUGUAAUAAAUUAAUUAUAUGCAAUUUUGGCAAUACAUAAUCCAACUAACAAAUUUCAUGUUGACAUUUCCAUCACAAAUUUUAAAGCAGAUCACUGUGUCACGUGUUUUUUUUUUUUUUUUUGGGUUAGAGAACUAGUCAAAUACUAUUACACAAAGAGAGCAACAUAUCUUAACCAUUUUUACUUUUGCUAAUUUCGGUGAGACUUAUUAAGGGAAAUACCAUAAAUUGGUGUGUAAGCAUAUACGAAAAAGUAUGGUAUCAUUAUCAUGUGAAGCUUCCACCUUAUGAUUUCAAUCAAUAGCUACAGACGAGUGAGUGGUGACAUUUCAUUAUCAGUAGGGCUACAUAUUUUAAAUUUUGUAUUAUAAAAAGUUAUUCUAAAUGAUGUAUCAUUAAUUGAGUGGUUGAUAAUUUUUUACAAGAUCUAAGUGAAUUAAUUGUAUUAUCUUACCAACCAAUUGAUAAAUGACACAUCAUUUAGAAUAAUUUUUUAAGAUAAAAAAUUUAAGAUGCGUAACAUUACUCUUUCAUUAUUGAUUUGAAAGACACGGUUUCCAUACAAUGCAUUAAGGCUUUGGAUUGUGGCAAUAAAUUUUGUUAUCCAUUAACUUCUUUGGCUAUAUUGCAAUAAAUUUCUUUUGUAACACAUUAAAUACCACCAUAUCAGUUUAUAUAUUUAUUAUGAUUGUGAUUUGCGACACUGUGGAACACUAUAUUGUUGAUUUAAUAUAUAAAAAUCAUAAAAAAUUAGUUAUAUUAGAACUGCUUCACUAUGAAAUACUGAUAAAACCCAUAUGAUUAUAGAGGUUAAAAUUAAAUUUGUACUUAAUGAUACAAUUUGAUAAUCAUUAUUAGAGCUAUACGGCAGCGAUUCUACCGUAAUCACUGUCAAAUCACAUGAAUUUUCAAUAUUUUGUUAUUAUGGAUCAGGCUACGGUGUAAUUAUGGUACCGUACUACAAUUGCAUCUAAUCGUUGGAUGCAGUUGGAGUGGUGGGGUUCACUAACAUCCAACGACUAGAUGUAACUGUGGCACGGUGCCACAGUUGCACCUAAGUUCUCCUGUUGUUAUUAUUAUUAUUAUUAUUAUUAAUAUUUCCAGAAAAAUCAUUUAUUCAUUAUCUGCCACAUCUAGGACACAUAGGCACGCUGCUCAAUAACGAUGGAAAGAUAUGAUUAAUCAGAACCAUUAAACAAAGAGAAAAGGAGUGGGCCCUUGUCUGUCCCAACAGUUCUGCUUGUGGCGACCGGACGCCGAGUAACUUUCCCAACUUUCCUUGUAAAUUAAAGGGUUAUUUCCACCCAAUCCCCAAAGCUUUCGAUAUUUUUCACCGUGCACCCACACAUUUUGAUAUUUUUUACCGCGCACCCAAUUCCGUUAAUUUAGCCGUUAAUUUUUAACAGAGCUAUUUGAAAAUUAAUAUGAAAUGUCUGAAAUAUCACUUAUUUUGAAUUAAAAAAAAUUAAAUGAGAUAAAAUAUUAAUCCAAUAAUUAAUAUUUACAUUAAAAAUUCUUAAUUAAAGGUAAUUAAUAAUAAUCCUAUCAAUUAACUUAUCAAAUAAAUUUAAUUUAUCAUCAUCAAAUAAUAUUUAAGACAUGAACUUCCAAAUUUACCUUUGACCGUUAGAAUAAACGAUCAAAUUAACGAAUUUGGGUAUGGAUUGAACAUUAUUAAAAUAUUUAAGUGUGCAGUGGAAUAUAUUGAAACAUUUGGGGCAGGGCGGAAUUAACCCUUAAAUUAAAUUAUAAAAUACAAGUUAAGUUUUGUACGCCUCGUCUCACUAUAUUAAAUACCGGGCUCGCUUUCGUUUUACGGUAGUAUCGGAACUGAAGCAUGAAUUUAAAUUUGAUUGAUUUUUCCAGCAUCUAAUGGUCCGGUUUUGUGAUAAUGUUUCAAACAGACUUCUUUGUAUGCGCGUGGGGGCUACCUCGUUCUGCGGUUUUCGUGUCUUCAUAUUCGCACAAGUAUGAGCUGUUAAGCUGAUUACGUGACUAGACUGUGUAGGUGGUCUCGUCCAAUCAAAUUGUUCACGGAAAGGCGUUGUUUGGUUUGUGACUCAAAAACCCAGAAUUUAGUAAACACCUUACUACAGAAAUGACCAAUGUAGUUCUGUAUUUUCAAAAAUCAUUUUUCAAUUUCCUAAAAACAAAAAUAAAUAAAAUAUACCCGCUUUACGAAUGUCAGAAGCCCAACACAUUCUUUUUUUUUUAAUACUGAUUAAUCAUCAGAUUACUGCAUUACACAGAUAUUUACAACAACUGCUAUUGUAGCAGAGAUAUUAUACUGAUAUUUACAAUCAGAUAUACAUAAUUGGGACUUAUAUUAUGACAUUGAAUUCUAUGAAGUACAUGCCCAAACAAAUAACCCCUCACAGGAGAGGGAUGUCCAUACUCCACUCGCAUUUCGUAAGGGAGAAUGAUUUUUUUGGAAGUAUAAAGAAUAUUUAGCCCCCACAAUACUUUUGUGGGGGCUAGAACCGCUGCCCUCACAAUGCUUGUGAGGGCAGCAGCCCACCACUUCGGCCAAGGCCGAAGUGGCAAGCCCAACACAUUCUUAGAAUAUUAUCACUGUACUAUAUUUAUUUUGUCGUACUGCAUCUAGCUAUAAAUUUUUUUUGAUAUGUUGUGUACACCAUUUAUAUUUUUAAAUCCGUAUCAAUUAAUUACUUUGUCCUUAAAAUCAUUAAAAAAUAUUAAAAAAAUCUAAAUUAAAUGACUAUUUUAUUUUUUAAAACUUUGAAUAAUUAUAAAAUUUAUAAAUUUAAUUAAAAGAUCAUUCCACCGAUUUUUCCUAUCUUUUUAUGUAAUUAUAAAUUUGGUUAUUUUUCAAAGUUUCAAAAGAUAAAACAAUAUUUUAAUGCAUUUAAGGGCAAAGUAAUUAAUCUAAAAAUAUAGGUGAUAUAAAGAAUAUAUUAAAAAAAAUUUAAUAAUCAAAUGUACAUAUAACAAAAUAAAGAUAGUAUAGAGAUAAUUUUUAUAAAUUAUUUAACAAUUUGACGGUAAACUUGCAAAUAGUAGGAAGACUUAUUUUUAAAUCAGUAUUAGGAAAACCCACAAAAACAUAUUGUAUAUUGAUUUCAAAUAUUAGAAUGAUUUAAAAUUCACUAAAUUUGGUUCAUAAUUAAUUGAUUUGAUAUUAAAUUCCAUUGUUAACAAAAACCAUGCAACCGAGUCCUAACACAACUGAAGAAGCAAACAAGAACUUCUACAUAUACUACAAAAGAAAAGGGCAAAAAAAGGAAAAGACGACGCGGAUACACGUGGGGCCCAGCGCAAUAUCUAGGAUUUAUCUGACUACCGUUCAGUCUGUUUCUCUGUUUAAAUGAGUUUGGAAUUUUGCUCUCUUAACUAAUAUGAUGGAUAAAAUUUAACCGUGGUUAGCACUCAUUCGGAUUAGACCGUUUUGAGGACCCUGCCCAAUUUGCCCUAUAAAUACCACGCAUCGGGUGCUCCCAUAUCGCAUCAACUUCUUAGCUUAUUCAAUUUGCGUACUACAAACUGCACUUUGAAUGAUCGGGCUACCUCAGCUUUUAUAUUUCAUCUCCCAUUAGUCUUCAUUUUUCUUUUUGUUCACUUUCGUUUCAAGCUCGUAAUCUCGGGGUCAUUCUCUUUCCCUCUUAAUCUUUUAUGGUCUAUGUUGCACGUCACAUGUUAAUCUUGAUAAUGGCCUAGAAAGAGCGUUCAUUUGGUCUGAAAUCGUGCAACAGGGUCUCAUAAAAAUAGCAAAACGAAUGUUAAUACCACAUCGUUCAUUUGAUCUGAAAUCAUGCAACAUGAUCUCUUAAAAGUAGCAAAACAAAUUUUAAAACAAAUCACGCUUAUCCAAUAUGAUAACCGUGAUUUGUUUCUUUUGAAAUUUGGCCUGGUUUAUUUAUGAACGCGUAUUGUAUACAUAUUCCGAUAAUCCGUCUCGUGUUUGCA